rnacentral:rRNA from 1 species
GCAUAUCAAUAAGCGGAGGAAAAGAAACCAACCGGGAUUGCCUCAGUAACGGCGAGUGAAGCGGCAAGAGCUCAAAUUUGAAAUCUGGCCCCUUGGGGGUCCGAGUUGUAAUUUGGAGAGGAUGCUUCGGGUGCGGCCCCUGUCUAAGUGCCCUGGAACGGGCCGUCAUAGAGGGUGAGAAUCCCGUCUGGGAUGGGCGGCCGUGCCCGUGUGAAGCUCCUUCGACGAGUCGAGUUGUUUGGGAAUGCAGCUCUAAGCGGGUGGUAAAUUUCAUCUAAAGCUAAAUACUGGCCGGAGACCGAUAGCGCACAAGUAGAGUGAUCGAAAGAUGAAAAGCACUUUGAAAAGAGAGUUAAACAGCACGUGAAAUUGUUGAAAGGGAAGCGUUGGCCACCAGACGCGCCCGAGGGGGUUCAGCCGGCACUUGUGCCGGUGCACUCCCCCCCGGGUGGGCCAGCAUCGGUUUGGGCGGUCGCUGAAAGGCCCCAGGAAUGUAGCACCCUCCGGGGUGCCUUAUAGCCUGGGGUGUCAUGCGGCCCGCCUGGACCGAGGCCCGC